AUGAUAGAGACUUUCCCUUGUAGGUACCUAGGGCUGCAGCUAAGCCUACGAAAACUAACUACAACCCAACUACAUGACCUAGUGUAGCAGGUGGCUAGAAAGUUGUCGUCUUGGAGAGGGGCGGUGUUGCUUAGAAGUAGCAGGCCGAUUCUCGUCAAGUCGGUGCUCUAUGCAAUUCUAGUUCACGCUAUGCUCGCUCUGGACAAACCGCCAAAAACUAUCAAGGCCAUAAUCAAGAUUUGUCGAGGUUUCUUUUGGUGCGGCAAGGACGAGGCAAAUGUCGGGCAAUGCCCAGUUGCUUGGGCAUCUGUCUACACACCACGCUGGGCUGGAGGUCUUGGGAUCCCAGACCUCCAAUGUAUAAACUAUGCGCUCCAAGCAUGGUGUCCAUGGCUCAAGCGCACCGAUGCAUCGCGUUCAUGGAGGGAGCUAACAGUCAAAGUGCCAGCUGAAACCAAUGGCUAG
rnacentral:rRNA from 1 species